UUAUUUUUUAAUAAUUAAUUUUUAUAUAAUUUUUAUAUAGUUAAUAUUUUAGUUAUUUAUAGGAAUAAAUAUUAUAAUAUAAUAAUAUUUUAAUAAUGAUAAAAUAAGUAUUUUGUAUAUAUAAAAUAUAGUAACUCGGCAAAUAUUAUUUUCGCCUGUUUAACAAAAACAUGGUCUUUUGUUUAUAUAAAAGAUCUAACCUGCCCUAUGAUUUAUUUAAAUGGCUGCAGUAUUUUGACUGUACAAAGGUAGCAUAAUCAUUUGUCUUUUAAUUGAAGGCUUGUAUGAAUGGUUGGAUGAAAAAUAUACUUUCUUUAUUUUAUAUAAAAAAUUUAAUUUUCUAGUCAAAAAGCUAGGAUUUUUUUAUAGGACGAGAAGACCCUAUAGAACUUUAUUUUCUUUUUUUAUAAACUUUAUAGAUAAAUAUAAGUUUAUAUAUUUUUGUUAAUUUUGUUGGGGUGAUUGAAAAAAUUUUUUAACUUUUUCUAUUUUUUACAUUUAUAUAUGUUUUUUUGAUCCUUUAUUAUGGAAUAAAAGAUUAAGUUACCUUAGGGAUAACAGCGUUAUUUUUUUGGAGAGUUCUUAUCGAUAAAAAAGUUUGCGACCUCGAUGUUGG
rnacentral:rRNA from 1 species